CCUACGGGGUGCAGCAGUAGGGAAUUUUCGUCAAUGGGCGCAAGCCUGAACGAGCAAUGCCGCGUGAACGAGGAAGGUCUUCGGAUCGUAAAGUUCUGUUGAAGGGGAAAAAGAGCGGAGAGAGGAAAUGCUUUCUGUUUGAUAUUACCCUUCGAGGAAGUCACGGCUAACUACGUGCCAGCAGCCGCGGUAAUACGUAGGUGGCGAGCGUUAUCCGGAAUGAUUGGGCGUAAAGGGUGCGUAGGCGGCCUGCUAAGUCUGGAGUGAAAGGUACCGGCUCAACCGGUACAGGCUCUGGAAACUGGCGGGCUAGAGAGCAGGAGAGGGCGGUGGAACUCCAUGUGUAGCGGUAAAAUGCGUAGAUAUAUGGAAGAACAUCAGUGGCGAAGGCGGCCGCCUGGCCUGUUAACUGACGGUGAGGCACGAAAGCGUGGGGAGCAAAUAGGAUUAGAUACCCCAGUAGUC
rnacentral:rRNA from 1 species